rnacentral:rRNA from 1 species
CUUGCUUCUCUUGAGAGCGGCGGACGGGUGAGUAAUGCCUAGGAAUCUGCCUGGUAGUGGGGGAUAACGUUCGGAAACGGACGCUAAUACCGCAUACGUCCUACGGGAGAAAGCAGGGGACCUUCGGGCCUUGCGCUAUCAGAUGAGCCUAGGUCGGAUUAGCUAGUUGGUGGGGUAAUGGCUCACCAAGGCGACGAUCCGUAACUGGUCUGAGAGGAUGAUCAGUCACACUGGAACUGAGACACGGUCCAGACUCCUACGGGAGGCAGCAGUGGGGAAUAUUGGACAAUGGGCGAAAGCCUGAUCCAGCCAUGCCGCGUGUGUGAAGAAGGUCUUCGGAUUGUAAAGCACUUUAAGUUGGGAGGAAGGGUUGUAGAUUAAUACUCUGCAAUUUUGACGUUACCGACAGAAUAAGCACCGGCUAACUCUGUGCCAGCAGCCGCGGUAAUACAGAGGGUGCAAGCGUUAAUCGGAAUUACUGGGCGUAAAGCGCGCGUAGGUGGUUUGUUAAGUUGGAUGUGAAAUCCCCGGGCUCAACCUGGGAACUGCAUUCAAAACUGACUGACUAGAGUAUGGUAGAGGGUGGUGGAAUUUCCUGUGUAGCGGUGAAAUGCGUAGAUAUAGGAAGGAACACCAGUGGCGAAAGCGACCACCUGGACUAAUACUGACACUGAGGUGCGAAAGCGUGGGGAGCAAACAGGAUU